AUGAACGCUGGCGGCGUGCUUCACACAUGCCAGUCGCACGCAACACCUUAUUUGAUUUUCUUCGGAACUGAAGAUUUGGUGAUUGAGUGGCGGACGGGUGAGUAACGCGUGGGUAACCUGCCCUGUACAGGGGGAUAACAGUCAGAAAUGACUGCUAAUACCGCAUAAGACCACAGCACCGCAUGGUGCAGGGGUAAAAACUCCGGUGGUACAGGAUGGACCCGCGUCUGAUUAGCUGGUUGGUGAGGUAACGGCUCACCAAGGCGACGAUCAGUAGCCGGCUUGAGAGAGUGAACGGCCACAUUGGGACUGAGACACGGCCCAAACUCCUACGGGAGGCAGCAGUGGGGAAUAUUGCACAAUGGGGGAAACCCUGAUGCAGCGACGCCGCGUGAGUGAAGAAGUAUUUCGGUAUGUAAAGCUCUAUCAGCAGGGAAGAAAAUGACGGUACCUGACGAAGAAGCCCCGGCUAACUACGUG
rnacentral:rRNA from 1 species